rnacentral:lncRNA from 1 species
UGUUUAAGCCAAGCUAAGAAUGAGAAAUAUCACUUUUGACAUUGAGUUUGAACAUGACGAAGCAUGAAGGAGGAGUUUUCGACCUAGCGUAGGUAUUCGUAUUACGUAAGGGUUCGCCUCUUGAGGAAGCCCCAGCUUAUUAAGAAAAGUAAGUAGGGAGGUGAAGCUAGGAUAAGUGAUCUGGAAGUCUUCCGUUCGGGUCUUCUCCAGUGGGUGGGAUAAGGGAAAUAGGCGCUAAGAGUCGUCCUUCUUAGCGAGGAAGCAAGUGAAAGCUUUGGUCCUACCUGGUUUUUUCACAAUACCCUAAUCUUCGUAAUCGGAUCUAAAAUCUAAAAUUGCAAUCAAUUAAGUGUAUGAAACGAUUUUCUCUUCUGCAGAUGAAAGAGCUUCCGCUUAAUCUUAUG